GACGAACGCUGGCGGCGUGCUUAACACAUGCAAGUCGAACGAUGAAGCCGGAGCUUGCUCUGGUGAAUUAGUGGCGAACGGGUGAGUAACACGUGAGUAACCUGCCCUUGACUCUGGGAUAACUGCGGGAAACUGUAGCUAAUACCGGAUACGACCCUCGGAGGCAUCUCCUGGGGGUGGAAAGAAUUUCGGUCAAGGAUGGACUCGCGGCCUAGCAGCUAGUUGGUGGGGUAAAGGCUCACCAAGGCGACGACGGGUAGCCGGCCUGAGAGGGUGACCGGCCACACUGGGACGGAGACACGGCCCAGACUCCUACGGGAGGCAGCAGUGGGGAAUAUUGCACAAUGGGCGCAAGCCUGAUGCAGCAACGCCGCGUGAGGGAUGACGGCCUUCGGGUUGUAAACCUCUUUUAGCAGGGAAGAAGCGAAAGUGACGGUACCUGCAGAAAAAGCACCGGCUAACUACGUGCCAGCAGCCGCGGUAA
rnacentral:rRNA from 1 species